GAUAAGCUUGGGAAACUGGGUCUAAUACCGGAUAGGAGCCAUCUUUAGUGUGGUGGUUGGAAAGUUUUUUCGGUGUAGGAUGAGCUCGCGGCCUAUCAGCUUGUUGGUGGGGUAAUGGCCUACCAAGGCGGCGACGGGUAGCCGGCCUGAGAGGGUGUACGGCCACAUUGGGACUGAGAUACGGCCCAG
rnacentral:rRNA from 1 species